rnacentral:piRNA from 1 species
UAGAGUGUGCUCUCUCAACCCCAACUGC